GUUCUCCAUCACUUUCUGAGUCCUACAGGAGGAAAGUGCUAUUGAAGAUGCGGCGCGUAUGGCGUGAAGUUCUGGGGCUGGGAGAAGCUGCCCCACUACUUCCGGGCGGCCUUGCCUGCAGGGAGCAGUUCACAACCUAGUGCUGUCCACUUGCAUGGGAUGUUUCUUUUCCAUCACAAUGCUCUGAGAUAACUAAGUCAAGGGAAGUUUGCGCAGCCCUCCAGACCCUCCAGAUUUCAAAGGAAAGCCCACCGCUGCUGGUCUGGGGGAGCUGAUGGCCUAUUCAUGGAUGAGAUGGACUAAGGACAGUGGGAAGCACAAUGGACCAACAGCAUUGUUGGAGGGGACUGCGUGAGGAAGCAGGAGCCUAAACAACACUCUCCAGAUACUGCGUGAACACUGUCUCCAGAGGGGUCUUGUAGCAUCAAAAAUUAAAGCUAAAUGUUGAUUUCUUUCUGGUAAUUAUUUUGUUCAGCAACCUGGAAAAACGAACAAAAAUUAUCUCAUUCCCUUUCCUAUUUAAAGCCUGAAAUAUUUAAUUAAAAUGAUAAAACUUAAAAAAAGUGCUUAUUAGGCCAGGCUCGGUGGGAGGCCGAGGCGGGGGCGGGGCGAAUCACUGGAGGCCAGGAGUUUGAGACCAGCCUGGCCAACAUGGCGAAACCCCGUCUCUACUAAAAAUACAAAAUUAGCUGGACGUGGUAGCGCACGCCUGUAAUCCCAGCUACUCGGGAGGCUGAGGCAGGAGAAUCGCUUGAACCUGGAAGGUGGAGGUU
rnacentral:lncRNA from 10 species